GUCCAGGGAUGGGAUUUGAAACCACAAUGCUCCGCUUACCGGGCAGAUGCCAUGUCCACUAGGCUACCCUGGA
rnacentral:tRNA from 1 species